rnacentral:rRNA from 1 species
CCUACGGGGGGCAGCAGUGGGGAAUUUUGGACAAUGGGCGCAAGCCUGAUCCAGCUAUUCCGCGUGUGGGAUGAAGGCCCUACGGGUCGUAAACCGCUUUUGCACGGGGAUAACACCCUCCACUUGUGGAGGUCUGCAGGUACCGUGCGAAUAAGGGCCGGCUAAUUCCGUGCCAGCAGCCGCGGUAAUACGGAAGGCCCGAGCGUUAUCCGGAUUCAUUGGGCUUAACGGGAGCGUAGGCGGGCGUUCAAGUCAGCUGUAAAAUCGCGCGGCUCAACCGCGCCCCGCAGUUGAAACUGGACGCCUUGAGUGCACAACAGGCAGGCGGAAUUCGUGGUGUAGCGGUGAAAUGCAUAGAUAUCACGAGGAACCCCGAUUGCGAAGGCAGCCUGCCGGGGUGCGACUGACGCUGAGGCUCGAAGGUGCGGGUAUCAAACAGGAUUAGAUACCCGUGUAGUC